UCCAAUGUCUGAGUGACAUGUAGGCUUCACAACUUAACUAUCAUGUAGACGCACAUCAGGAUUUACGUCUACCCCUUCGCCUCCCUCUCCAAUGGCUUUGCCCGGCCAGUUCUCUUUUCAGUUUUGACCAUGGCGCCAGAUCCAAAUGCUAGUGGUAGCAGCACAGUUCUGUCGAAGGAGCUAAAGAGGAAGAAGGAUGACAAAAAGGGGGAAGACCUGGUGCCUGUCGAAUGAAGAUUUGGCGUUGAAACAACAAUUAGAGUCGUAUGUGGAAAGGGCUCAGGAUCCUGAUCCUGGAUUGCAGAAGGUUGCGCUUGAGAGCAUGAGGGUUCAUGUUUGGGCUUAUAUAUUGAUGUAGAAGUUGUGGGCAACAGAGAUGGUGCGAAAUUAAAGGUGGGCGAAGGACUGGUAGCGGCGAAACUGAUGGACAACAGAACUGGUGUCGUGCGGCGAUGCAAAGCGAUGGAGAUGGUGCGAAUCGGCAAUCUGAAAUUUUGAAGGGGGCUUUUGGCCAAUGGAUCGAAUGCUUCCCUUCAAUUUCUAUUCUGCUUCCGAGAGUUUACUAUAUAGUAUGAUGAUGCCAUUGUAAUUUCUGUGGAAUUGUUGACGUGCUGGAAUAUUAGUGGAGGCUGUUAAACUCAUACCUUCAGGCGGAUUGCUUCAAAGCGGAACUCUUGUAGUUAUAUAAUUUAUAA